rnacentral:rRNA from 1 species
GACAGAGGGUGCAAACGUUGUUCGGAAUUACUUGGGCGUAAAGCGCGUGUAGGCUGUUUUGCAAGUCGGAUGUGAAAGCCCUGGGCUCAACCUAGGAAGUGCACUCGAAACUGCAGAACUGGAGUCCUGGAGAGGAAGGCGGAAUUCUCGGUGUAGAGGUGAAAUUCGUAGAUAUCGAGAGGAACACCGGUGGCGAAGGCGGCCUUCUGGACAGUGACUGACGCUGAGACGGCGAAAGCGUGGGGAGCCAAACAGGG